rnacentral:rRNA from 1 species
GACGAACGCUGGCGGCGCGCCUAACACAUGCAAGUCGAACGAGCGAGAGAGAGCUUGCUUUCUCAAGCGAGUGGCGAACGGGUGAGUAACGCGUGAGGAACCUGCCUCAAAGAGGGGGACAACAGUUGGAAACGACUGCUAAUACCGCAUAAGCCCACGACCCGGCAUCGGGCUGAGGGAAAAGGAGCAAUCCGCUAAUAGAUGGGCUUGCGUCUGAUUAGCUAGUUGGUGGGGUAACGGCCUACCAAGGCGACGAUCAGUAGCCGGACUGAGAGGUUGAACGGCCACAUUGGGACUGAGAUACGGCCCAG